rnacentral:rRNA from 1 species
UACGAAGGGGGCUAGCGUUGCUCGGAAUACUGGGCGUAAAGGGCGCGUAGGCGGAUAGUUUAGUCAGAGGUGAAAGCCCAGGGCUCAACCUUGGAAUUGCCUUUGAUACUGGCUAUCUUGAGUUCGGGAGAGGUGAGUGGAAUGCCGAGUGUAGAGGUGAAAUUCGUAGAUAUUCGGAAGAACACCAGUGGCGAAGGCGACUCACUGGCCCGAUACUGACGCUGAGGCGCGAAAAGCGUGGGGAGCAAACAGG